GUAAAACGUAAACAAACUCAUUGUGUUGUGAUGCAGAGGUCAUAUGUGAUGUUUUUUCGCAUUACUCGAGAUGAUUUUGGAUCUUGAGAGCAAUUUCAAAAAGAGAUUAUGAAGGUGGAUUGUGUAGAAGAGAAUGGCUCUGGAUUUUAUCAUUCCCUCUAAAAAAUUGGCUUCUCAGUAGAGAUGGAAUACACACAGCAGCAGCGGGGGAGAUGGAACUCAAAUCGAGGCUCGUAUGGUCGUGGCCACCCUAGACAUGGAAACCAAAACAGCAGAGAGAAUCAAAAUGUAGCAUAUCCUCCGCAUGGUCACAUGAGUGAGUCUUCUUAUGGAGGAUGGAUUACAAUGAAUCCACCCUACAGUCACAUGGGUGGAGCUCCUUUUGGAGGAUGGAAUGAAAUGUAUCCUAACUAUAAUCACAUAAGUAGGUCAGCCUAUGGAGAAUGGAACGAAUCAAUGUAUCCUUCUUAUGGUCCAGUGGGUGGUUAUUCUUAUGGAGGAUGGAAUGGAACCCAUCACCCCACCUACCAACAAAGGGGCAGGCCUUCUGACAGAGAACAGAAUGAAGUACAUCCCACAAAUAAUUACAGGGAUGGGUUGUCUCACAGAGGACGGGGGCAUAGCAGCACCAUAAGAGGGCAUGGUUAUAUCACAAGAGGGGGAGGCAACACCACAAGAGGGGGUGGUAAUACAA